CCGGCCGGCGCGAAUGUCGCAACAACUGCCUUCAAGCACAGCGCAAACUUCGCGUCUAGUGACGGAUAAAAAGAACACCAUGUAUUGUGAUUUUACACCGUUUUAAAUUGGACCAAUUUUUUACACGAGAUACAAGAUACUCAGAACCCAUUGACAUCCGUAAAAUGUCUUGAAGUUGGGAACAAAUACCACCGAAGGCGUAUGUGAUGUCUUGGCGUGAUGCAACUUGUAAUGGUCAACUUUCUCAUCAUGUUUGACGUAGUAUUCAUAUUCUUCCUGUUCCUCAUCGCCGUGACGUGUGUUAUGAACUAUAUGCCUGGGAAGAAGCGGCAGGAGGUGACUGAGGAAGACGUGGAAAGUGACGUCAUACCUCCGCCGCCGCUGUUCGCUGGCGACGAAGCGAGCGCGAGCCGGGAUACCUAUGUGGUUAUAUCGCCCCCGAUUGACACAGAUAGGACCAAAGACGGGUGUCCUAUACACGUGGUGUAGUAUAAGUGAAAUGUAAACGUAGGAGUUUAUUAUGAAGAAGCCUUAUAAGAUGGUAGGUAACGUCAAAAUAAAGGCGUUUUUUACAGUUUAGAUGUCUAUAAUAUUGUUUUUAAGACUAACAGUUGAAAAUUGGGACUCAAGUGAUGAAAUCUUUGGAAAGACUUGGUACAUUCGGAUAUCGAUGGACGCAAUAGAAGUAAAAUGAAAAUAUAUAAACUGUUGUAGAUCGUAAAAUAAUUAGGCACAUUGUAUUUACUACUUAGUUAAAUAUUGAAUAUCUUAAUAUAGAAAGAACAUCACAGGAAAUAUGUUUGUCUACUCGAAUGCAUUUACUCAGAAAUUAAUACUUAGUCUUUAUUUCACAGUCUAUUUGUUAAAUAAAUUAUUUGAAGUGUUCAAUGUCGGCACAUAAUAUUGCUAUAAAUGUGACUGAAUAAUAGAAAUAGAUUAAUGUAAUGAAUUUGCAAGUUUAGCUACUAAGCCUACGGUUUCGUGCCUAAUAUUAAUGUUUUGCUCUUAAUUUAUAGGUAUUAGCAAAAACGUGUAAUUUAUAGGUAUGCCAUUAUUGUACCCACUCUUAAUUUCUUGUCAAUUUUAAUUUGACUUCGCACUUUUAUGAAUGUGCUUUUUUUUCACAGAUUAUAGAGUCUUGUUUUUUUUUAAUGUACCAGCACUAAAUGUUUUGUAUUGAACAUGAAUAAUUUUAUAAAGCAUACCCAGCUUUCAAUAGAUAGAUAGUCGUUAGUAUAGGAAGUAAUAUAAUAAUGAAAAGACAAUACAAUAUACGAAAUAUUUCUCAUAUCAUGUACUUAUACAUAAAUAUUAAAUGUCGAAUCAAUUAAGAUUGAAAAAGUUAUUCAUGACACCAGUUAAGGAAAUUCAAUCGAGUUUAAAAAUAUUUCAUUAAGGAAAUAGCUAUCAUAUUACCUUAAAAUAUAAGAAACUAAGACACUUCACAAUAAUAAAAAAUAGUUUAUACGUUUUUUAGUCAUAUGUUUUAGAUAGAGUAGUUGUGCGAAAUAAUUAUAGCAUCAAAAGUAACAAAUUGAAAAUCAAACAUAAUCUAUGUGAUAUAUACACAAUUUUUAAUAAGUAGCUAUUGUAAUUAAAUCGUUUUCAAUUGAUUGUUAUACGAAUGAAAUCAGUGUUGUAAGCUUUGACAUUAGCCGAGAUUUGGCCGGAAUUCGGAAUUAAACCAACAAGGAUUGAAAUGGGUUCAAAAGGAGUAUACAUUACCCUACUUUAGGAAAAUGGAGCAUUUCUUUUUUACAGUAUUUUAUUUAUACUGUUAAUAGUAAUAUAAUAGACCUUUAAAGAUUCACAAUUUUAUUGCUUUGCUUUUCUAUAGAGUUCUUACAAAGCUUUAGCACGAAAAUAUUGUUCUCUGAGACGGAUAAAAAAUGUGAAAAUAAUUUUAUAAAAUGUACGCCAUGUCACGGCUGGUGUUGAGCGAUGUAAUAAUAAUUAUUGUAAUUAAAUAAAAUGCACUACACGCAGUGUUGUCAUA